rnacentral:lncRNA from 10 species
CCACAGCCAAGGCCAGAGAAACAGGCCCUUCUGCCGCGGCCACCUGGGCGCCUUGGACCCGCCCUCCGGACUCGCCCCCGCCCCUGCCGCGGAGUGGAACGUUUGGAACCCUGAGGGGCACAGACAGGAGGUCUUUCUGUGUUGCCCAGGAUGGACUCCAAUUUCCUGGCUCAAGCGAUCCUCCUGCCUCCGCCUCCCAAGUAGCUGGGACUACAGGUGCUUGCCUGGCUUGCUUCACCAUUUUCAGUAAGAACGAUCAUGAUGCUGCUCACUGAAGUCAGCAGACUUCCUUUGUGGGGUUAAUGACUGCAGUGUGUUUUGAGGAAAAACAAAACAAAACAAAAAAAAACUACUCCAAUAUUUUGAGGAAAUACUUCUUUAAAUACUGGCCUCUGCCCUGACACUCCUUGCCUCCUAAUAUUGGCACCACCUCUGUUUCCUUACAAUAGAGUCUCAGAACAUGGGAUCAAUCUUAGACCCAAAGGAGGAUGCUUCUCAGAAACACUCUCUGUCCUGCCGUACGUCUGUCUAAAGUAAGAAAAAUAGAUGAGAGAAUUCUGCUUAAGGACCACAGCACAGACACAGUAGGAAAAAUAAGGGGGUGGGACCUAAAGGAUACUGGACAUUGUGCAUCCUUUUAUGUAUAUUUUGGUUAUAUAAUCUGUUUUGGGGGAUUGAUUUCUGAGGUCUCACCCCUCUCCCAAUCUAGAGGAUCUCACAUCUUCCUUUGAAUUUAGUACUCGGCAUCUUUGUGGGAGCUGAGGACCUUGAAGAAGAGAUUGCUCAGAGACCUCUUACCAGGGUGAGGCCAGCUUCCCGUAUUUGGGGAUCCCACAUGCUAACCAGCAAUGCAGAAAUCCCAAAUCCUGUUCUCACUUUUCAGUAGUCCUACCUGUUUGACACUGAGGAAGCAGAUACUUGGAUGAGAUCUGAAUUGGGUCUUGUACAUUGCCUACAGGCCAAAGGCAAUGUGUUGAAGAGAUAAUCUUGAAAGAGUAAUGGGAAAGGAGACCUCAGAAACUGAUCUCAUGAGGCAGAACAACCCUUGCUCUAAUUUCAUAGUCACAGGGUACCUGCUGAUUUCCAAAAGAUGUUACUGUUAUGUUUGUCUUCUUAAGAGAUGGUGUCUCGCUCUGUCGCCUAAGCUGGAGUGCAAUGGCACAAUCGUGGUUCACUGCAGCCCCAAACUUCCAGGCUCAAGCAGUCCUCCAUCCUCAGCCUCCUGAGUAGCUAGGAGUACAGGCACACAACACUAUGACUAACUAAUUUUUAAUUUUUUGUAGAGACAGGGGUCUCCCUGUGCUGCCCGGGCUGGUCUCCAACUCCUGCACUCAAGCAAUCCACCUGCGUCAGCCUCCCAAAGUGCUGGGAUUACAGGUGUGAGCCACCAUGCCCAGCCAAUUGUGUUUGUCUUAAUCAGCAUGUCCUACACCACUUCCAUGCCAGGCCACCAGGGAAAGAGACUGCAGAUGUUUUUUCUUUGUGAAAAUUACCAAACUUAAAGAUCUUAACUGCAAAUUUAUUUCAUUGAUUU